rnacentral:rRNA from 1 species
AUACGGAGGGUGCGAGCGUUAAUCGGAAUUACUGGGCGUAAAGCGCGCGUAGGCGGAUAAUUAAGUCAGAUGUGAAAUCCCCGGGCUCAACCUGGGAACUGCAUUUGAUACUGAUUAACUAGAGUAUGGUAGAGGUGAGUGGAAUUUCCGGUGUAGCGGUGAAAUGCGUAGAGAUCGGAAGGAACACCAGUGGCGAAGGCGACUCACUGGGCCAUUACUGACGCUGAGGUGCGAAAGCGUGGGUAGCAAACAGAAUUAGAUACCCCAGUAGUCC